rnacentral:tRNA from 1 species
UGUCGUAUGGUGUAAUGGCAGCACAACUGGUUUUGGUCCAGUUAGUCGAGGUUCGAAUCCUUGUACGACAA